AGUCGAGCGGCAGCGCGGGGGCAACCCUGGCGGCGAGCGGCGAACGGGUGAGUAAUGCAUCGGAAUAAGCAYCGGCUAACUACGUGCCAGCAGCCGCGGUAAUACGUACGGUGCGAGCGUUAAUCGGAAUUACUGGGCGUAAAGCGUGCGCAGGCGGUUCGUUAAGUCUGAUGUGAAAGCCCCGGGYUCAACCUGGGAAUGGUAUUGGAAACUGGCGGGCUGGAGUGUGCCAGAGGGGGGUGGAAUUCCGCGUGUAUCAGUGAAAUGCCUAAAGAUGCGGAGGAACACCGAUGGCGAAUGUUGCCCCCUGGGCUGACACUGACGCUCAGGCACCAAAGCGUGGGGAGCAAACCGGAUUAUAUACCCUGUUAUUCCACGCCCUAAACGAUGAUCACUGGGUGUUCGGRGAGCGAUCUCUGAAUACCGUAACUAACGCGUGAAUAGAUCCGCCUGGGGAGUACGGUCGCAAGAUUAAAACUCAAAGGAAUUGACGGGGACCCGCACAAGCGAUGGAUGAUGUGGAUUAAUUCGAUGCAACGCGAACAACCUUACCUACCCUUGACAUGUCCGGAAGCCCGGUGAGAGCUGGGGGUGCCCGAGAGGGAACUGGAACACAGGUGCUGCAUGGCUGUCGUCAGCUCGUGUCGUGAGAUGUUGGGUUAAGUCCCGCAACGAGCGCAACUCUUGACCCUAGUUGCUACRCAAGGGCACUCUAGGGAGACUGACGGUGACAGACCGGAGGAAGGUGGGGAUGACGUCACUGUCCUCAUGGCCCCUUUAUGCGCUAUGGCUUCACACGUCAUACACUGCUCGGCACCGACGGUUGCCAAACCGCCGAGGAUGGAGACAAUUCCCGGAAAGUUCGAAUCGUAAUCCGGGAUUGCAGUCUGCAUACUUCGACAUGCCAUUGACGUC
rnacentral:rRNA from 1 species